rnacentral:rRNA from 1 species
CCGGCGACCGGCGCACGGGUGAGUAACACGUAUGCGACCUGCCCCCCGCAGGGGGAUAACCGGGAGAAAUCCCGACUAAUACCGCGUAACGCCGCGGACCUGCAUGGGUCUGCGGCCAAAGGAAGCGAUUCCGGCGGGGAUGGGCAUGCGGCGCAUUAGCUAGUCGGCGGGGUAACGGCCCACCGAGGCGACGAUGCGUAGGGGUUCUGAGAGGAAGGUCCCCCACACUGGUACUGAGACACGGACCAGACUCCUACGGAAGGCAGCAG